GCCAGACUCCUACGGGAGGCAGCAGUGGGGGAUAUUGCACAAUGGGGGGAACCCUGAUCCAGCGACGCCGCGUGAGUGAAGAAGUAUUUCGGUAUGUAAAGCUCUAUCAGCAGGGAAGAAAGAAAUGACAGUACCUGACUAAGAAGCCCCGGCUAACUACGUGCCAGCAGCCGCGGUAAUACGUAGGGGGCAAGCGUUAUCCGGAUUUACUGGGUGUAAAGGGAGCGUAGACGGCGAUGCAAGUCUGAAGUGAAAGGCGGGGGCCCAACCCCCGGACUGCUUUGGAAACUGUAUAGCUGGAGUGCAGGAGAGGUAAGUGGAAUUCCUAGUGUAGCGGUGAAAUGCGUAGAUAUUAGGAGGAACACCAGUGGCGAAGGCGGCCUGCUGGGCUUUUACUGACGCUGAGGCUCGAAAGUGUGGGGAGCAAACAGGAUUAGAUACCCCAGUAUG
rnacentral:rRNA from 1 species